rnacentral:lncRNA from 1 species
UUCGGGAUUUGGAGACGAUGAAAUUCUACGCGAUACCGGCGUUAGACGGGGCUUUUGGUCGCACCCGGCCAAUUUGCCGUAACCCGAUAUGGUUGAUUCUAGAAAUGUUUCGAUCAUUAAUAUGAGACGUUAGAAUGAGUUCUAAGGGUAUUAAGAUACUUAUUAAGUCAUAAAAUAAAAUAUACAUUAAUGACUUAAAUAAAAUGCCGAAAUCAAAAUUCGAAGUCGGAAACGGCGAUUGGACGAUCGAAACGAGUCGCGAGUAGGGUUACAUUUAGGGAUAUGAAUUUCGGGUUGUUACAAGUCCAUUCGAAAUCGGAAACGGCGUAUUUUCGUAAUAAAUUCGAAACUAUGGUGACACUCAAGGAGUACACUAACUGUAUAUUCGAAGUCUUAGNAAAGGCGUCAUUUCGUAAUCGUAGUCAUAUUCGCAUUUGUAGUCGUAUUCGUAUUCGCAUUCGUAUUUGUACUAGGUUAUAUUCGUAUUCAUAUUCGUACUCAGAUUCGUAUUCAUAUGAUUCGUAUUCGUAUUCGUAUUCGUCUUCGUAGUAGGUUAUAUUCAUAAUCGUAUACCUAUUAGUAUUCGAAUUCGUAUUCGUAUGAUUCGUAUUCGUAUUCGUAUUCGUAUUCGUAUUUGUAUUCGUAGUAGGUUAUAUUCGUAUUCGUAUUCCUAUUAGUAUUCAAAUUCGUAUUCGUACUCGUAUUUGUAUUCGUAUUCCUAUUAGUAUUCGAAUUCGUACUCGUACUCAUAUUUGUAUUCGUAGCAGGUUAUAUUCGUAUUGACCUUAGAUAUGAUCAAUAUGAUUUCUUAUACAAAGAGAAUAUAGUUACAACACUUUUUUAAAAGAAAUUUAUAUUUAACCUGCAAUUUGAAAUGUCAGUUAUCACAAACUUUGGAAAUCAAGGCAUUUAAUAAGUAAAACCAUUGAGUUGUAAAUCAGUUUAAGUACAAAAUACACUUGUACUUUUUGCUUGUAUUCCCCCUCUGAAAACAUUGAAAACCAUUGAAAACACGUAAAAAGGGUAGGGGUAUGAACUCACCGGACUCGGAAAUCUGACGAUUUCAGAUACUAAGCGUUGGUUCGGGGCUUGAUUACUUGCGAUGUCCCUAUGUAAAAUGAAAUAAUGUCCAUAUAUAUCUAAUUAGAUUUACAAUCACUAACUAUAUGGGACAUUACACUCCAAUGAGAUUAAACACCUCAAAACGAGUGUUUGGAGUGACCCGGGUGACAUCUAUGGACGUGUAAUGGCACUAAGGACUUGGAAUUUGAGUUUACUCCCCAAGAGUAAACAUUUAAGGGAGCUUACAACCACAAAACACAUACACAC